UACAGAGGUGGCAAGCGUUGUUCGGAAUUACUGGGCGUAAAGGGCGCGUAGGCGGUUCGUUAAGUCCUGUGUGAAAUCCCCCGGCUCAACUGGGGAACUGCACAGGAAACUAGCGGGCUUGAGUUCGGGAGAGGGAAGCGGAAUUCCGGGUGUAGCGGUGAAAUGCGUAGAUAUCCGGAGGAACACCAGUGGCGAAGGCGGCUUCCUGGACCGGUUCUGACACUGAGGAGCGAAAGCGUGGGGAGCGAUCCGG
rnacentral:rRNA from 1 species